rnacentral:rRNA from 1 species
AGUGAACGCUGGCGGCGUGCCUAAUACAUGCAAGUCGAACGAGUGGCGCACGGGUGGGUAAUAUAUAUUAAUCUUCCCUCCACAGAGGAACAACAGUUGGGAACGACUGCUAAUACCUCCUAGUGUCGGAUGAGACUAUAUCGUAUCAGCUAGUUGGUAAGGUAAUGGCUUACCAAGGCUAUGACGCGUAACUGGUCUGAGAGGAUGAUCAGUCACAUUGGAACUGAGACACGGUCCAAACUCCUACGGGAGGCAGCAGUAAGGAAUAUUGCGCAAUGGGCGAAAGCCUGAUCCAGCCAUGCCGCGUGUGUGAAGAAGGUCUUCGGAUUGUAAAGCACUUUAAGUUGGGAGGCGUUACCAACAGAAUAAGCACCGGCUAACUUCGUGCCAGCAGCCGCGGUAAUUC